UCUGGUUGAUCCUGCCAGUAGUCAUAUGCUUGUCUUAAAGAUUAAUCCAUGCAUGUGUAAGUAUAAGUAUUGUACAGCGAAACUGCGAAUGGCUCAUUACAUCAGUUAUAAUUUAUUUGAUAAUCGAAAGUUACAUGGAUAACCGUGACAAAUUACAGCUAAUACAUGCAGUUAGACCUGGCUCAAGGGUCGUAAUUAUUAGUACUAAACCAUUUCCGCAAGGAAUGUGAUGAAUCAUAGUAAUCGAACGAAUCGCAGGUAUAUGCGAUAAAUCAUUCAAGUUUCUGCCCUAUCAGCUUUGGAUGGUAGUGUAUUGGACUACCAUGGCAGUCACGGGUAACGGAGAAUUAGGGUUCGAUUCCGGAGAGGGAGCCUGAGAAACGGCUACCACAUCUACGGAAGGCAGCAGGCGCGAAAAUUGCCCAAUCCUGAUUCAGGGAGGCAGUGACAAGAAAUAACAACUCUCAACAUUGUUGAGAAGUGUAAUGAGGAUAAUUUACAAACCUUACCGAAAGCAAUUGGAGGGCAAGUCUGGUGCCAGCAGCCGCGGUAAUUCCAGCUCCAAUAGCGUAUAUUAAAGUUGUUGCAGUUAAAAAGCUCGUAGUUGAAGUUCUGGCUGAUCGAUCCUCGAGCUCUGUAGCCGAGGACUCGUCAGUCAUCCGCUUGCAAAUAUAUGUUCGCCUUUAACCGGGUGGCUAUAUGAGUAAGCAAUUUACCUUGAGAAAAACAGAGUGUUCCAGGCAGGUUUGUCCGGAAUGCAUUAGCAUGGAAUAAUAGAAUAUGACUGAAGUCUAUUUAUUGGUUAAAGGCUUUAGUAAUGAUUAAUAGGAACAGUCGGGGGCAUUCGUACUCAGCAGUCAGAGGUGAAAUUCUAAGAUUUGCUGAAGACUAACUAAUGCGAAAGCAUUUGCCAAGGAUGUUUUCAUUAAUCAAGAACGAAAGUUAGGGGAUCAAAGACGAUCAGAUACCGUCCUAGUCUUAACUAUAAACUAUACCGACUCGGAUUCAGAUGAAUAUUAAAGUUCAUUUGGGACCGUAGGAGAAAUCAAAGUCUUUGGGUUCUGGGGGGAGUAUGGUCGCAAGGCUGAAACUUAAAGGAAUUGACGGUUUUGCACCACCAUGGAGUGGAGUCUGCGGCUUAAUUUGACUCAACACUGGGAAACUCAUCAGGGCAAGAAGAUUUUAGGAUUGACAGAUUGAGAGUUCUUUCUUGAUUGGUCUAGUGGUGGUGCAUGGCCGUUCUUAGUUGGUGGAGUGAUUUGUCUGGUUAAUUCCGUUAACGAACGAGACCUUAACCUGCUAACUAGUACACUGAUUACCAAUCGGUGUUACUUCUUAGAGGGACUAUGUGAUGUAAUCACAUGGAAGUUUGAGGCAAUAACAGGUCUGUGAUGCCCUUAGAUGUCCUGAGCUGCACGCGUACUACAAUGGUGCUUUCAACGAGCUUUUCCUGAUCCGAAAGGAUUUGGGUAAUCUUUUUAGUGAGCACCGUGCUUGGGAUUGAUCUUUGUAAUUAUGGAUCAUGAACUAGGAAUUCCUAGUAAGCACGGGUCAUCAGCCCGUGCUGAUUACGUCCCUGCAAAAUGUACACACCGCCCGUCGCUAUUACCGAUUGAGUGUAAAGGUGAACCUUCUCGAUAGUGUCACCGCUAAAAAUUAAGUAAACCUUUGCACUUAGAGGAAAUAAAAGUCGUAACAAGGUUUCCGUAGGUGAACCUGCGGAAG
rnacentral:rRNA from 1 species